AGAGUUUGAUCAUGGCUCAGGAUGAACGCUGGCGGCGUGCCUAAUACAUGCAAGUCGAGCGAGAAUCUGAUGAUUGGAGAUUCGUCAAAGAGAUUCAGAGGAAAGCGGCGGACGGGUGAGUAACGCGUAGGCAACCUGCCCUUAGCAGAGGGAUAGCCAUUGGAAACGAUGAUUAAAACCUCAUAAUGCUGUUGAAACACAUGUUUCGGCAGCCAAAGAUUUAUCGGCUAAGGAUGGGCCUGCGUCUGAUUAACUAGUUGGUGGGGUAACGGCUCACCAAGGUGACGAUCAGUAGCCGACCUGAGAGGGUGAUCGGCCACAUUGGAACUGAGACACGGUCCAAACUUCUACGGAAGGCAGCAGUAAGGAAUCUUGCACAAUGGGGGAAACCCUGAUGCAGCAACGCCGCGUGAACGAUGAAGGCCUUAGGGUUGUAAAGUUCUGAUCUGUGGGAAGAAGAAGUGACGGUACCACAGGAGAAAGCCCCGGCUAAAUACGUGCCAGCAGCCGCGGUAAUACGUAUGGGGCAAGCGUUAUCCGGAAUUAUUGGGCGUAAAGAGUGCGUAGGUGGUUACCUAAGCGCAAGGUUUAAUCUUGAGGCUCAACCUCAUUCUGCCUUGCGAACUGGGCUACUUGAGUGCAGGAGGGGAAAGCGGAAUUCCCAGUGUAGCGGUGAAAUGCGUAGAUAUUGGGAAGAACACCGGUGGCGAASGCGGCUUUCUGGACUGUAACUGACACUGAGGCACGAAAGCGUGGGGAGCAAACAGGAUUAGAUACCCUGGCUAGUCCACGCCGUAAACGAUGAGCACUAGUUGUUGGGUACGAAUGUAUUCAGUGACGCAGUUAACGCAAUAAGUGCUCCGCCUGGGGAGUACGGUGGCAACACUAAAACUCAAAGGAAUUGACGGGGACCCGCACAAGCAGCGGAGCAUGUGGUUUAAUUCGAAGCAACGCGAAAAACCUUACCAGGGCUUGACAUCCCUCUGACCGGAUCUUAACCGAUCCUUUCUUCGGACAGAGGUGACAGGUGGUGCAUGGUUGUCGUCAGCUCGUGUCGUGAGAUGUUGGGUUAAGUCCCGCAACGAGCGCAACCCUUGUCGUCAGUUACUAACAUUAAGUUGAGGACUCUGACGAGACUGCCGAGGUCAACUCGGAGGAAGGUGGGGAUGACGUCAAAUCAUCAUGCCCCUUAUGUUCUGGGCUACACACGUGCUACAAUGGCCGGUACAAUGAGAAGCAAAAUGGCGACAUGGAGCAAAUCACCAAAACCGGUCCCAGUUCGGAUUGCAGGCUGCAACUCGCCUGCAUGAGGUCGGAGUUGCUAGUAAUCGCGAAUCAGCAUGUCGCGGUGAAUGCGUUCCCGGGUCUUGUACACACCGCCCGUCACACCAUGGAAGUUGGGGGCGCCCAAAGUUGGCUAAUCAAUCUGCUACCUAAGGCGAAACCAAUGACUGGGGUGAAGUCGUAACAAGGUAACCGUA
rnacentral:rRNA from 1 species